UACGGAGGAGGCAAGCGUUAUCCGGAAUUAUUGGGCGUAAAGCGUCCGCAGGUGGCACUUCAAGUCUGCUGUCAAAGACCGGGGCUUAACCCCAGAAAGGCAGUGGAGACUGAAGUGCUAGAGUGCAGUAGGGGUAGAGGGAAUUCCCGGUGUAGCGGUGAAAUGCGUAGAGAUCGGGAGGAACAUCAGUUGCGAAGGCGGCUCUCUGGACCAGCACUGACACUGAGGCACGAAAGCGAUGGGGAGCAAACAGGGA
rnacentral:rRNA from 1 species